CCUGACCUCGAUUCGAGCGUGAAUACCCG
rnacentral:rRNA from 2 species